AGUGAACGCUGGCGGUAGGCCUAGCACAUGCAAGUCGAACGGCAGCACAGUAAGAGCUUGCUCUUACGGGUGGCGAGUGGCGGACGGGUGAGCAAUACAUCGGAAUCUACUUUUUCGUGGGGGAUAACGUAGGGAAACUUACGCUAAUACCGCAUACGACCUACGGGUGAAAGCAGGGGAUCUUCGGACCUUGCGCGAUUGAAUGAGCCGAUGUCGGAUUAGCUAGUUGGCGGGGUAAAGGCCCACCAAGGCGACGAUCCGUAGCUGGUCUGAGAGGAUGAUCAGCCACACUGGAACUGAGACACGGUCCAGACUCCUACGGGAGGCAGCAGUGGGGAAUAUUGGACAAUGGGCGCAAGCCUGAUCCAGCCAUACCGCGUGGGUGAAGAAGGCCUUCGGGUUGUAAAGCCCUUUUGUUGGGAAAGAAAAGCAGCAGGUUAAUACCCCGCUGUUCUGACGGUACCCAAAGAAUAAGCACCGGCUAACUUCGUG
rnacentral:rRNA from 1 species